rnacentral:rRNA from 1 species
ACGAACGCUGGCGGCGUGCUUAACACAUGCCAGUCGAACGCUGAAGCUCAGCUUUUGUUGGGUGGAUGAGUGGCGAACGGGUGAGUAACACGUGAGUAACCUGCCCCCUUCUUUGGGAUAACGCCCGGAAACGGGUGCUAAUACUGGAUAUUCACUGGUCUUCGCAUGGGGGUUGGUGGAAAGGGUUUUUCUGGUGGGGGAUGGGCUCGCGGCCUAUCAGCUUGUUGGUGGGGUGAUGGCCUACCAAGGCUUUGACGGGUAGCCGGCCUGAGAGGGUGACCGGUCACAUUGGGACUGAGAUACGGCCCAGACUCCUACGGGAGGCAGCAGUGGGGAAUAUUGCACAAUGGGCGCAAGCCUGAUGCAGCGACGCCGCGUGAGGGAUGGAGGCCUUCGGGUUGUGAACCUCUUUCGCUCAUGGUCAAGCCGCAACAAUGGUUGUGGUGAGGGUAGUGGGUAAAGAAGCGCCGGCUAACUACGUG